CUCCUGAUGGCACAGUUGGUAGCGCGUUGGACUGUAAUUGAAAUUGCUGAAAAUCCACAGGUCGUGUGUUCGAAUCACACUCAGGAGA
rnacentral:tRNA from 1 species